rnacentral:rRNA from 1 species
AUUCCAGACUCCUACGGGAGGCAGCAGUGGGGAAUAUUGCACAAUGGGGGAAACCCUGAUGCAGCGACGCCGCGUGAAGGAUGAAGUAUUUCGGUCUGUAAACUUCUAUCAGCAGGGAAGAAAAUGACGGUACCUGACUAAGAAGCCCCGGCUAACUACGUGCCAGCAGCCGCGGUAAUACGUAGGGGGCAAGCGUUAUCCGGAUUUACUGGGUGUAAAGGGAGCGUAGACGGCAUGGCAAGUCUGAUGUGAAAACCCGGGGCUCAACCCCGGGACUGCAUUGGAAACUGUUCAACUGGAGUGCUGGAGAGGUAAGCGAAAUUCCUAGUGUAGCGGUGAAAUGCGUAGAUAUUAGGAGGAACACCAGUGGCGAAGGCGGCUUACUGGACAGUAACUGACGUUGAGGCUCGAAAGCGUGGGGAGCAAACAGGAUUAGAUACCCUCGUAC